rfam:Anopheles dirus strain WRAIR2 unplaced genomic scaffold supercont1.85, whole genome shotgun sequence.
CAAUCGGCUCUUUUCAGAGCCACCGCACAAUCUCUACGGCUUAACA